rnacentral:rRNA from 1 species
UCGGGCGGGGGCUCCGGGUGGACACUUCAAACUCUUGCGUAACUUUGCAGUCUGAGUAAACUUAAUUAAUAAAUUAAAACUUUUAACAACGGAUCUCUUGGUUCUGGCAUCGAUGAAGAACGCAGCGAAAUGCGAUAAGUAAUGUGAAUUGCAGAAUUCAGUGAAUCAUCGAAUCUUUGAACGCACAUUGCGCCCCCUGGUAUUCCGGGGGGCAUGCCUGUUCGAGCGUCAUUUCACCACUCAAGCCUCGCUUGGUAUUGGGCAACGCGGUCCGCCGCGUGCCUCAAAUCGACCGGCUGGGUCUUCUGUCCCCUAAGCGUUGUGGAAACUAUUCGCUAAAGGGUGUUCGGGAGGCUACGCCGUAAAACAACCCCAUUUCUAAGGUUGACCUCGGAUCAGGUAGGGAUACCCGCUGAACUUAAGCAUAUCAAUAAGCGGAG